UCUCCGUAGGUGAACCUGCGGAGGGAUCAUUACAGUGUUCUCGCCCUUACGGGUAGACCUCCCACCCACUGUUAUCGUUACUGUCGUUUCUUUGGCUGUCCGCCGGUUCCCCCGGCCGCCGGUGUCUAAUAGGCGGCGCGCGCCCGCCAGAGGCCGUCAAACUCGGAAUGUUAGUGUCGUCUGAGUACUAUAUAAUAGUUAAAACUUUCAACAACGGAUCUCUUGGUUCUG
rnacentral:misc_RNA from 1 species